GUCUUGUCUCUCAGCCCUUUGGUGUCCCAAGCAGCAGUUGCCACAGGCAAGCUUUCCCAGCCCAGCUGCUGCCAGCAUCCCCCCAGCUUGCCAUUGCCACCUUCCUGGGUGAGGCGCGCGCACGUUUGCCAUUGGCAUUUGCCGUUGCCCAUCCCUGAGAGUGGCAAGCAGUGCGUAGGUCCAGCACGAGAGAGGGGAGAGGCCAAGCGAGAGGGGCAAGGGCUCAGGAGCGUGGCUGCAGCUGGAGCAGGUGCCUGCAGAGGUCUCUGUGCCUGCGUGCUGAGCGGGCCUGGGUGCUGCAGGGGCCGUCGAGGAGAAGCCCGAGGUCGGUCACGGGUAGCCGUAAGAGUAGGCUCUGGCGUGGUCCUUCUGCCGCUGCUCGAAGAAUUGCACGGGGCCGAUCUUCAUGUGGUGGGCUGCCCGCUGCCGCUCCUCCUGGGCCAGCUUCUUGAGGCGCUCCCGCUCGGGACGCUGCUGCGGCGUGAUGGGCACCGACGACUCCUGCUCCUCCAGCGGUGUGGGCGCUGCGUCGCUGCCCGCCCAGGGCCCCACGCAGGGCAUGUAGUCCCCGCGGGGCUGCGCCGGACUGCGAGGGGGACUGGGCAGGGCUCUCCUCAGGGCUGGGAGAAGUUGAGGCCUCUUGAGGGGAGCCAAGGGAGGCCGGGGCAGGGUUCUCUUGCGGGCGGGGACGAACUCCUGCUGGGGAGGCCUUUUGGGGAGAGGCUUGGGCAGGGGUCUCCUGCAGACAGGGUCGGGGGGGCUCUGGAGGGGACUCAAGCGAGGCUUGGGCAGGGCUCUCCUGAGGGCAGUGAGGAAGUCAGGGUCGGGGGGGCUCUGGACGGGAGCCUGGGGAGGCAGGGGCAGGGGUCUCUUGCGGGCAGGGAGGCAGUCAGGGUUGGGGGGCCUCUUGAGGGGAGCCAAGGGAGGCUGGGGCAGGGUUCUCCUGCGGGCAGGGAUGAAUUCCUGCUGGGGGGCUCUUUUGGGCAGGGCUCUCCUGAGCUGGGGCCGGGCUGCAGGCUUGAGGGGGGAGCUAAGUGGCGGCACAGCAGCUGCAGGGGGCUGCAGCGCCCGCCCAGCCUGCACCUUGUCAGGGUGCAGCCCAGGGCUUGAGGGGACCUCACCCAGCGCUCUGGUGGCUGCCAGUCCGUGUGUGCUCGGCUCCUCGAUGUCCUCACAGAGGUCGGGCAGCUGCGAGAGGAAGCGCUUGAGGACAGGACUGCUGGGGACAGCGGUGAAGGCAUCCUGAGGCUCCACGGCAUCAAGGCAGCUGAGCAGCUCCUCCAAGCCGGAGCUGUCCAGGUCGGCCGGGAGCUGGUCCUGCAGGUGCUGCAGCUGCUGGCUGUCCCCUGCCAGCUGGGGAAAGGCCUCGGCGAAGGCAUCGGGGCCCAGCUCCAGCAGCUCCAGGGGCUCCUCAGGCACCUCUGCAAGUGUCGCCGCUGAGGAAAAAGCAAGCCAAUGCAAUCCCCCAGGCAUCCCCCGAUGCCAGCUUUGCCAUGGCUCCUGGGUGUGGGGUGCCCAGCGGCCGGCUGGGCCAGCCCCAAACUCACCAUCGGGCGUCAGCGUCUGGGUGCUGGCGGUCGCUGGAGCCUGGGCAGGCUCGGGGGGAGUGGGGCCGGGCAGCGGGGGCCCCUGGUCCUCGCUGAGCCCCACGGCAUGCAAGCAGGGCUCCGGCAGCUGCCCCCGGCUGCUGCUCAGGGUGCGGGGCGCGGGGAGCACCUGCCCCUGCAGCGGAUGCCCCGGGACGAGGAGUGGGGGGGGG
rnacentral:lncRNA from 1 species